rnacentral:rRNA from 1 species
AUGGGGGAGGGGAACGGGACGGCGUGGGCGGGGGCGCUGUCGCCGGCGGCGCGGUACGCGGAGACGGGAGGGGCGAGCUUGACAUGGGAGAACCUGACGGCCGUGCUGCCUGGGUCCGGCGGCCGGCCGACCAAGAAGCUCUUGCAAGGGCUGUACGGCUACGCCGUGCCCGGCAGGAUCGUCGCCAUCAUGGGGCCCUCCGGCUCCGGCAAGUCCACCCUCCUCGACUCCCUCUCCGGGAGGCUGGCGAGGAAUGUGCUCCAGACCGGCAAGGUGUUGCUCAACGGCAAGAAGAGGCGGCUCGACUUUGGCGCGGUGGCGUACGUGACACAGGAGAACGUUCUGCUGGGCACGCUGACCGUCCGGGAGACGGUCACCUACUCGGCGCAGCUGCGGCUGCCGUCGAGCAUGUCAAAGGCUGAGGUGCGCCGAGUCGUGGACGACACACUGGACGAGAUGGGCCUCCGGGAGUGCGCUGAGCGGCCCAUCGGCACGUGGCACCUCCGGGGCAUCAGCGGCGGCGAGAAGAAGCGGCUGUGCAUCGCGCUGGAGAUCCUCACCCGGCCGCGCCUCCUCUUCCUCGACGAGCCCACCAGUGGCCUCGACAGCGCCUCUGCCUUCUCCGUCAUCGAGACGCUCCGCACACUUGCCAUUGAUGGCGGACGCACCAUUGUCUCGUCGGUGCACCAGCCCAGCAGCGAGGUAUUUGCGCUCUUCGACGAUCUCUGCCUCCUCUCCAGCGGCGAGAGUGUCUACUUCGGGGAUGCCAAGCUUGCACCACAGUUCUUUGCAGAAACCGGAUUCCCCUGCCCGAGCCGGAGGAACCCAUCCGACCACUUCCUCCGGUGCGUCAAUUCGGACUUCGACGAUGUCGCCACGGCCCUGAAAGGAUCCAUGAAGCUCCGAGCAGAGGCAGAUCUUGAUCCCCUGUUGAAGUACUCGACUACGGAGAUCCGAGAGCGGCUCGUGGAUAAGUACCGGAUCUCAGACUACGCCAUGAUGGUUAGGAACACAAUACACGAGAUAAGCAAAAUAGAGGGUGUGAUGGAGGAGGCAGUGAAGGGCAGCCAAGCGACCUGGUGCAAGCAGCUGCGCACGCUGACCAAGCGCUCCUACAUCAACAUGUACCGUGACUUCGGCUACUACAGGCUGCGCAUCAUCAUCUACGUCCUGAUGGCCAUCUGCCUUGGCACCAUCUACUACGACGUCGGCAACGGCUACACCGCGAUCCAGGCGCGUGCCUCCUGCGGCGGCUUCGUCUCGGGCUUCAUGACGUUCAUGUCCAUCGGCGGCUUCCCCUCCUUCAUCGAGGAGAUGAAGGUCUUCUCCCUCGAGCGGCAGAACGGCCACUACGGCGUCGCCGCCUACAUCAUAUCCAACUUCCUCUCCUCCAUGCCGUUCCUGUUGACAAUGUCCUGGGCCAGCGCCUCCAUCACAUACUGGAUGGUCAAGUUCCGGCCAGGAUUCAGCUACUUCGCCUUCUUCGCCCUCAACCUCUAUGGCGGCGUCUCCGUCAUCGAGAGCCUCAUGAUGAUCAUCUCCGCCCUUGUGCCCAACUUCCUCAUGGGCCUCAUCCUUGGCGCCGGCGUCAUUGGGAUCAUGAUGUUGACGUCUGGAUUCUUCCGGCUCCUUCCAGAACUUCCCAAGAUUUUCUGGAAAUACCCAGUGUCCUACAUUGUCUACGGCUCUUGGGGUUUGAAGGGUGCAUACAAGAACGACCUGCUCGGGCUGGAGUUCGAGCCGAUGACGCCGGGAGGCGAGAAGCUGACCGGCGAGUUCAUCAUCACCAACAUGAUGGGGCUGAGCGUCAGCUACUCCAAGUGGCUAGACCUAGCCAUGAUCUUCAUCCUCCUCCUGGCCUACCGCAUCACCUUCUUCUUCGUCCUCAAGGUCAAGGAGGCCGCCGCGCCCUACCUCCGCGUCGCCUACACGCGGUUCACUGUGAAGCGCCUUGAGCGGCGGGCGUCCUUCAGGGAGUCGCUGGCCAUGACGUCCUUGUCCAAGCGGCACAACGCGCCGCACCCCAUGGCCAUGCAGGAGGGGCUCAACUCCCCCAUGCAGCAGUACUGA